UUCAAGUCUUUAAGAGCAAACGGUGGAUGCCUUGGCAUCUGGAGCCGAAGAAGGACGUAGCAAUCUGCGAUAAGCCUCGGGGAACUGAUAAGCGAGUUUUGAUCCGAGGGUGUCCGAAUGGGGAAACCCGG
rnacentral:rRNA from 2 species